CUCUAGCAUUUCCAGUAUUAGAGGCACUGCCUGCCCAGUGACAUUAGUUAAACGGCCGCGGUAUCCUGACCGUGCAAAGGUAGCAUAAUCAUUUGUUCCUUAAAUAGGGACUUGUAUGAAUGGCCACACGAGGGCUUUACUGUCUCUUACUUCCAAUCCGUGAAAUUGACCUUCCCGUGAAGAGGCGGGAAUACGACAAUAAGACGAGAAGACCCUGUGGAGCUUUAAUUAAUCGACCCAAAGAGACCUUAAUAACCAACCGACAGGAACAACAGACCUCUGCCAUGGGCCGACAAUUUAGGUUGGGGUGACCUCGGAGAAUAAAACAACCUCCGAGUGAUUUAAAUCUAGACUAACCAGUCGAAAGUAUUACAUCACUUAUUGAUCCNAAAGCUUGAUCAACGGAACAAGUUACCCCAGGGAUAACAGCGCAAUCCUAUUUC
rnacentral:rRNA from 1 species